AGUUUCCCUGCAGCUGAAUGAACUUUCACCUUUGACCCUGAUCUCCCCGCGUUGCUCGGCAUCGUGGGCGCGUCCACGCAUGCGCAGGGCGACGCCCCCUCUCCGGUUCAGCAGCAGGAGAUGCCUGUAAAGAGCAAUGUGGCCCCGUGUUGCCUCCUGACCCCAUCAUUCGAACGCCAACGCAGAGAGACACACACAAAUGAACACCGGGGGAUAAGAGGGAUUUAAGAAGAUGGUUUAACUUGAGCCGGACCACACAACAAGGAUAGCGAUCAUCUCUUCCAUACAAGGU